GUGUCCUCAGAACACAAGCUGUGCAAUGAGUGUGGUAACAUGACAAUGACCACAGUUUUCUCAGACUCCACGGUGAUCCUCCCUUGCUGCUUUGACAACAGCAUGAAGGACCCUGUGCUUUGGAGCAAAGACGGGGAACGCAUCGUCCACAUCCACAGCUCAACCAGAGUCGAUUUCCUCAACCAUAAGAUGGGCAGAGUGACCGUGUUACUGUCUCAGUGAAGAUUUUUUCCCCUCCGCAUUGACCGGUUCCAGGCUCUAGAUGUGGGCGUGUAUUGCUGUGAGCAGGGAAACCAGUGCAGGGCGUGGAGGUCAAGCAGAAGCAAUGGAAUACUGCAAAGCCCCAUGAGACGGGUGAUUCUCUAGUUGAACAUGACAUGACCACACUAUGCUCGGUGCAGUCAUUGAGAUUUGGAACUUUCUGUUUGGCACAUCCUGAAGCAUCCACAUCUAAACUGACGGAUUGAUAAUGAUUACCCCUGCUUUGUCUGUCUCCAUGUGCCAGCUGAGUCUACAGGUGUCUUGCAGACAUACAGACACAUAGAUUGAUCAGACAGAUAUCUGUAUUUAGAACAAGUCAUUAGUAAAACCUUUACAUUUU